GACGAACGCUGGCGGCGCGCCUAACACAUGCAAGUCGAACGGAGCUGAGAGAAGCUUGCUUUUCUUAGCUUAGUGGCGAACGGGUGAGUCACGCGUGAGUAACCUGCCCUGGCGUGGGGGACAACAGUUGGAAACGACUGCUAAUACCGCAUAAGCCCACGCUCCGGCAUCGGCUUGAGGGAAAAAGAUUUAUUCGCUUCAGGAUGGACUCGCGUCCAAUUAGCUAGUUGGUGAGGUAACGGCCUACCAAGGCGACGAUUGGUAGCCGGACUGAGAGGUUGAACGGCCACAUUGGGACUGAGACACGGCCCAGACUCCUACGGGAGGCAGCAGUGGGGGAUAUUGCACAAUGGGGGAAACCCUGAUGCAGCGACGCCGCGUGGAGGAAGAAGGUUUUCGGAUUGUAAACUCCUGUCGUUAGGGACGAUAAUGACGGUACCUAACAAGAAAGCACCGGCUAACUACGUG
rnacentral:rRNA from 1 species